GGAGACAUUUUUAAGAAUACAAUACGGUUUCAAAUGAUACAGUUUCAGCUUGAAAACUAAAUAAAUUAAAAUGUCAUAUUUUUCAAAUUACAAAUAAAUCUCAAACAUCGUAAACAAUACUCAACUACAAAACCUUACAUCUUUGUGAAAACCAAUCACAAAUUAUAUCCAAACUUCCAAUUUUUCAAAUUAAAAAGUAGAAGUUUAUUGCUAUACAAAUUAUUAGGUACUAUUGGAUUUGAACCAAUGACUCCCAUGAGUGAAAAUCUAUAAUAGGCAUAUAGAAAUUAUUAAGCCGAGGGGAGGGCUUAGAUCAGCCGAGGGGAUGAAGAUGAGACAGAGUUGACUCCCGCGGCCUCCUCUCGGUAGAAGAAGGAGAAAGCCCAGUUUAUUGCUUGAGAAUUUCCUUCCAGUGGCUGGUUCAAAUUCCAUACGGAUGGUGCUUCCAAGAGAAACCAAGACUUGCAUGCUGCCACGGGACAUUCUGGUAAGUUGGGGUGCUGGUGGCCUUCUCAACCCUCCUCCAAGAAGAAUUGUGGAGUACCCUCCGAGAAUAAACCAGUUUAAUUCUAAUCUGAGUAGGCAGGGAAUAAUACCCUAAUCAGACAGCUCAAAAGCCUUAUUCUUCACCAGGAGCUGGUCUAAUAAUACUUCGGGGCUGUCUCGAUAAAUAUAAUCUGUUUCGUUAUUUGAACUGGAGAAUUUCACUCUAAGACGAGUGGAUGCGUUGAGCUGCGAAAGCAUUCUAUUGCACUAAACCAUUAUUUCAAAUUUAAAAUCUAAAACUG
rnacentral:lncRNA from 1 species